GACGAACGCUGGCGGCGUGCUUAACACAUGCAAGUCGAACGGAAAGGCCCUGCUUUUGUGGGGUGCUCGAGUGGCGAACGGGUGAGUAACACGUGAGUAACCUGCCCUUGACUUUGGGAUAACUUCAGGAAACUGGGGCUAAUACCGGAUAGGAGCUCCUGCUGCAUGGUGGGGGUUGGAAAGUUUCGGCGGUUGGGGAUGGACUCGCGGCUUAUCAGCUAGUUGGUGGGGUAGUGGCUUACCAAGGCUUUGACGGGUAGCCGGCCUGAGAGGGUGACCGGUCACAUUGGGACUGAGAUACGGCCCAGACUCCUACGGGAGGCAGCAGUGGGGAAUAUUGCACAAUGGGCGGAAGCCUGAUGCAGCAACGCCGCGUGCGGGAUGACGGCCUUCGGGUUGUAAACCGCUUUCGCCUGUGACGAAGCGUGAGUGACGGUAAUGGGUAAAGAAGCACCGGCUAACUACGUG
rnacentral:rRNA from 1 species